CCCCUGCCCUUCCCAGCCCUUAAAUACGAAUCAAGGAGGGGAGGAGCCAGGCUCCAACCAAUCACAAUCCACAGCUCAACGGCCCCCACCUGUGCCCAUGGGGUUGGCCCCUCCCCUCAGCAGGUGCCCAAUCAGGAUGUUACAUAACAGCUCCAAUCAAGAACAAAGCCAAAAAUAAAGCAAUAACAGGUGAAUAAUUAUAUCUACCUGUUCCUAAAGGGGAGGGUUAUGGAUAGAGGAGAAACAACAGCACAGUAUAUGGACACGGGGGUGCAGAUCUCAGUGUCGCAAUGGGGUGACACUGUGGGCACCGCUCUGGGGUUGAUGCUGGGGGGACAUUGGGAUGAUGGGGGGUGAUGGGGGCGAUGAUAUCAUUAUAUAAUUAGGGUGAUAUAAUAGAAAUGCUUAGUCAUGGUUGGAAGCCAUGAUGGGGCGGAGUCACAGCAGUACAGCCCAAGUGCAGGCAAUGCACCUGAUUGGCUGCAGGGCUGGCUCCGCCCCCUCCUGGUGCUCAUAUAAGGGCUGGCACCGUGGGGCAGCAGGUAUUUGCUGGAGCUCCUCGCUGUGGUCACAUCUACCCACAUGAAGAAGCUCUUCUGCUCUGUUGCUGCCUUGGACCAAGAGCUGCUGGAUGGAGCUCCAGGACUUGGCUUCUCCACCAUCACAUUGCUCGGCCUAGAACAGCACUACAGGAGAAUUACCUUCAAAUGCAAGAGAUAUUCGCAGGCAGCAUAACAAAUGCCAAUACCUUCUUCAGCACUGGUACCUCUGCCAAGUUCAUCAAUUAUGAUGAGUGAUUUGUCAUUUGCAUUUUGUAUGAUUCAGCAAGAUAAAGAUGGAACACUUACAAGAAUUACCAGCUAUCUUCAGAACACAGAAGUAAAUACAGGAUGUUCACAGACUUGAAAAGAAUAUGGUUAAACCAACUAUCAUGAAAAGACUGGAUAUGAAGGCUUACAGCAGCUGAAUGUAAGACUGAAAUUUCAAUGCAUGGAAAUAGGAGUAUCAGCACAAAACUGGCAAGGAUAAACCAUAGACAUUUAAAGCCUAUUGAUACUCAGAAAAAUAAAUUACAUGGGCUUAACAAUUGGAGAACCAGACAAAGCUGCACAGAUAUUCUCCAGCUACAGGGUCUGUAUUAGGUUUAAUAACAGAAUGAAAAAAAACAAACAAAACCUACCAUAGUCAGAAAUGGUGCAGGCAUGAGCAAAUGAAAGCAGCAUGUCCAGCAUCGACACAAUGUCAGAUAGCUUGUAUAGACAAUGAAUAUGUUCAUAGAUCUCAUUCAGCAGUUUACACACUAUUCUUAAAAAAAGAAAGAAAAAAACCCACACUGUAAUUAUGUUCAUUCUGCAUACAUUAGGACAGGAGGUUACUUCAUAAAACACAAUCACCUUUAUCAAAUGCAGGCAAGUAUCUGAAUUUCUUUGAAGUGUAUUAAGAACUUAUACAAUAAACUCUGGUCAAUUACUGCCAUCAGAUACAAGACACAGGUCAAAUACCAAAAGCAUGUUAUGAAAGCUUCAUACAUAGAAUUAACUAAAAACACAGCUUUGGAGUCAAAUAUGUUUUAGUAACAUCCUCAGUGUGACUCUUAAAUUCCCUUUGGCCUUCAUGCUAAUAAAAACAAAAGAAACAUACAAACAGAAAGAAAAAAAAAAAGAAAGAAAGAAAGAAA